rnacentral:rRNA from 1 species
GAUGAACGCUGGCGGCGUGCCUAAUACAUGCAAGUCGAGCAAACGGACGAGAAGCUUGCUUCUCUGAUGUUAGCGGCGGACGGGUGAGUAACACGUGGAUAACCUACCUAUAAGACUGGGAUAACUUCGGGAAACCGGAGCUAAUACCGGAUAAUAUUUUGAACCGCAUGGUUCAAAAGUGAAAGACGGUCUUGCUGUCACUUAUAGAUGGAUCCGCGCUGCAUUAGCUAGUUGGUAAGGUAACGGCUUACCAAGGCAACGAUGCAUAGCCGACCUGAGAGGGUGAUCGGCCACACUGGAACUGAGACACGGUCCAGACUCCUACGGGAGGCAGCAGUAGGGAAUCUUCCGCAAUGGGCGAAAGCCUGACGGAGCAACGCCGCGUGAGUGAUGAAGGUCUUCGGAUCGUAAAACUCUGUUAUUAGGGAAGAACAAAUGUGUAAGUAACUGUGCACAUCUUGACGGUACCUAAUCAGAAAGCCACGGCUAACUACGUG